GGAUGAAUAUUGGUCAAUGGGCGGGAGCCUGAACCAGCCAAGCCGCGUGAGGGAAGAAGGCCCUAUGGGUCGUAAACCUCUUUUGUCAGGGAACAAAAGCGAGUAUGUAUACUAGUCUGAGUGUACCUGAAGAAAAAGCAUCGGCUAACUCCGUGCCAGCAGCCGCGGUAAUACGGAGGAUGCGAGCGUUAUCCGGAUUUAUUGGGUUUAAAGGGUGCGUAGGCGGCGGUGCAAGUCAGCGGUAAAAGCCCGGGGCUCAACCCCGGCGAGCCGUUGAAACUGCAGUGCUAGAGAAGGCGAGAGGUACGCGGAAUGCGCAGUGUAGCGGUGAAAUGCUUAGAUAUUGCGCAGAACUCCGAUUGCGAAGGCAGCGUACUGGCGCCUGACUGACGCUGAGGCACGAAAGCGUGGGGAUCAAACAGGAUUAGAUACCC
rnacentral:rRNA from 1 species